CUAAGCUAAAAUUCUGCUCUCCCGGCACCUGUGGCCAGAAGACGGAGCCUGAAUCACAAGGGCCUGGCAUGAGGCCAGCCUGGAGUCACACCGAGUGCCCUGAACUCUUACCUGAAGUGCUCUUUCAAGUCACAUUUCCCCAACGGCCUGCCUCCUGUGUUUUAUUUUAACUCAGCUCGCUACUGUAAAUUUGAAGAGGGACUAAGAACUACAUCAAUUUAAAGAAAAUUGGUGUCAAAACAUCGAAGACAGCACGGCGCUAAGGAGGUCCGUGGAAGCGGAGAGCGAAAUGGGUGGCGUGGGCUCCACUGCCCCUUGCGUUAAUGCAAUGCCAGGUUCUCUGUUUCCUCACCUGCAAAAUGGGAAUAGUGAUUAAUGUUUUACCAACGUUCUGAAACUCUCCCCAGGAUCGGGUCAAAGCAUGGAAACUGUUCGACAGGGUAUCACUUGGAUUCAUGGCAGAAUGGCAAGGAGAUACAAAAGACCACAGCAUGCAUUUCUAUGUUUCCAUGCCAACGGUGUUUUAGGUACUGCGAGACUGUACUUUUGGCUCUUGGGACAUGCUCCUUCCUGUGGCAGACUCUGCUUCCGAUCUGCUUUUGACAUGUUUCAGUGCUCACAGCUGCCUCCUCAGAGCCGCUUUCCAAAGCCGUGAAUUAAGGCGGCACCUGUUUGGGAUUUGCUCAAUCUGAAACGUAGCGGGACUCCUCCAGAAUGCCUAAUUACCUUUGCCCUGAAAGCAAUGCAGUCAGAUGCUUUGGCAGCACACUCAGGACACCUAGAACUGCAGGCCUGGCCUCCAUGUUUAGCCUCAAUUAUUCCAGACAGAAUAGAGCAAUUGAACCUUGAUUUACACCACGUCUUCACUCCACUUGCCUCUCAAUCCCAGAUCCUGCCACCUGCUGCAGGUAGAUUUAACCAAGUGCAAACAUGGGCUACUGCAGCUUGAAGAGCAGAUGAGAUUAAGACGAAGAAGAAAACUGAUAGUAGCUUAUAUACCCUGUAACCACCCAAGCCUACAGAUGAGCCAUGCAAGGUUUAUUCAAUUUAUGGUUUGCGAUAAUAUGGAACAAAUGAAACAAACAUAAUUGUUCAAUGAAAGAAAUUAAACAGGUCGAAUUGUUCAAUGAAACAA